rnacentral:tRNA from 1 species
GCCGCGGAUGCUCAAUCAGGUAGAGCGCUUGCCUGAAAAGCAAGUGUCUGCUCAAGACAUGCGGGUUCAAAUCCCGUCCGCGGCG